rnacentral:rRNA from 1 species
UUCCUACGGGACGCAGCAGUGGGGAAUAUUGCACAAUGGGGGAAACCCUGAUGCAGCGACGCCGCGUGAGUGAAGAAGUAUUUCGGUAUGUAAAGCUCUAUCAGCAGGGAAGAAAAUGACGGUACCUGAUUAAGAAGCCCCGGCUAACUACGUGCCAGCAGCCGCGGUAAUACGUAGGGGGCAAGCGUUAUCCGGAUUUACUGGGUGUAAAGGGAGCGUAGACGGUGAUGCAAGUCAGAAGUGAAAGCCCGGGGCUCAACUCCGGGACUGCUUUUGAAACUGUGUGACUGGAGUGCAGGAGAGGG